UCGGAUGUAGGCUGAAAUUCGCCUACAUGAAGCCGGAAUUGCUAGUAAUGGCAGGUCAGCAUACUGCCGUGAAUACGUUCCCGGGCCUUGUACACACCGCCCGUCACACCAUGAGAGUUGGGAAUACCCGAAGCCUGUGAGCUAACUUUUAGAGGCAGCAGUCGAAGGUAGAACCAAUGAUUGGGGUGAAGUCGUAACAAGGUAUC
rnacentral:rRNA from 1 species